GUCAGGCUCUUCCUGAACUAGUUUCAUCAUGGACCUUCCAGGGUCUGCAGACGCCUCAUCUUUCAGCAGCGUGACGGCCACCCUCUAUGCCUUGGAAACAGAUGAACAAGAUGUUAUGAAUUCUGUGUCGUGCAACCAGGAGACGUUGGUGUAAAAGGACAGGAGACUAGGACGUGUACGUUUGAGGUCCUCACCUCCUCGCCUGCAUCCUGCUGUGGUUGGCAGAGCUGAGACCCCAGCGUCUGGGACUUUUCAUGUGGUGGCCUGAGAGGAACACACCAGGGCCCCUUCUGCAGGUGCACAGACUCUGCAGGAUGUCCGCUCGGAUAAGGAACAUCCUGACACCCUUCCUGGGAGAACCAUAGGGUGACAAGGAGGCUCCCAGGGACCAAGGACCAGCACAAGGAAGACAGCUGCCAGAGGGUCAGAGAUUCCUGACUGCCUUCAUCGCAGUUGCAGGAGAGGGCCACCAUCAUCCAAGAGGACCUCAUCUCAGACCCUUCACUUCCAUCUGGAUAAUCAAGAAUGAUCUCUUCAUCUCAAGAUCCUUCAUUAGUUACAUAUGCCAGCCCUUUUGCCAACAAAGUCAUAUCCACAGGUAACAGGGUUUAGGACCUGGUCAUAUCUUUUUGGUAGAAAAUACUGAAUCCACUUCAUGGUACAUGAACUGGAUACUUGGAAACUCAGGAAACAUCCAUUCCUUUUCUGGUGACCUGGAAAACCAUGGAGGUCACAGCUUCUAUAUGUACCCAAGGCCGCUUUCCUGGGCGAGUGACCCAUGUUGCUGCACAGGAUCCUGGGCUCAUAAGGACGCCUAUUGGCUUAAUGCCCUAUGACCGCCAUCUUGAAAUUCUUAAUGAAGUGUGAACAAGGACCCACAUUUUCAUUUUGCCCUGGAACUGCAAAUGCAAUAGCCAUCUUUGCUCACAUUCCUUCCAACCUCAAGAAAGAGGAGCAAGUCUGCACCCAAUAAGGACAUCCCCACCUGCAGCACACCCUCCAUCCAGCCACUGAUGUGCUCAAGCCUACCUUGCAUAGGUGGUGAAGACCUCUCCCCAAGAUCCAGUAAGGCUAGUGGGUUUUGGCUGCACACUGGGGAGCCUCUGAAAUCCACUAAUGCUCAGCUCCACCAUCAAGAGAAUCCCCAAGUUUGUUCAUCUGGGCACCGGCAUUUAUUAGACCUCCUCGAGCCAUCCUCUUGUUCAGGCAAGUUUUGAGACCCUCUGGGCCAGGCAAAUGCAGAUUGAAGCUUCCAGCCCUGGGCGCCAGCCCCUCCCAGAACUGCUCAGAUGUUCUGCUAAGCCCUACA